UCACGCUCGGUCAAUAAGCCGUUAUUAUUAUACACGGUCACAUGCCAUUGACCAAUAACGAGUCUUCAAUAAGGUCACUACUGCUAAUGAGCAACAAGACGCUCUCCCAAGCGUCAGUCACUGAGGUUUUGCAUGUAUAAGCGGUGUCUUUUUGCAGAGAACUGGUGUGGUUGUCGGUGUUUUAUUAGUGCCGUUGCUUGGUUUUGCCUUUUGGUAUUGGAAUUUAUUCAAUGGAAGCAAAAACAAAAGAGAGAUCUCUACGGAGCUAAGCAGUUCAACAAUCCAAUACUUUAGAACAGAGGAAUUUGUUGUUGAGAAAAGUGUUUACUUCACAGUUAAAACGCUUUCUAUAUAACGUUUUUAUAAUUAUGUAGAAUUUUAAAUAAAUCCACCGUAGUAAAAUGUUCACAAUUUAUUCUCCUAUGUACAAUAGAAAACGUUCUUUUAAUAAUUCUGUAGUCUUAACGUUACAUGACGUUCUUGCUUUUUCGUGUCCAGUCCCCUCGGCCGAGCUAUGUAUAGUCGAAUAGCGAUUUUCACUCGGUGGAGAUUUCGGCAUUCCAGGGGGCUCAUUAAGUAUUCAAGUUGGUUUGUAAAAUGAGGG